UACAGAGGGGGCGAGCGUUGUUCGGAAUUACUGGGCGUAAAGGGCGCGUAGGCGGCCCGCUAAGUCGAACGUGAAAUCCCCAGGCUCAACCUGGGAACUGCGUCCGAUACUGGCAGGCUUGAGUCCGGGAGAGGGAUGUGGAAUUCCAGGUGUAGCGGUGAAAUGCGUAGAUAUCUGGGGGAACACCGGUGGCGAAGGCGGCAUCCUGGACCGGUAUUGACGCUGAGGCGCGAAAGCUAGGGUAGCAAACGGG
rnacentral:rRNA from 1 species